GACGAACGCUGGCGGCGCGCUUAACACAUGCAAGUCGAACGGAAAGGCCUGCUUUCCCUUGUGGAUUGCGGGUACUCGAGUGGCGAACGGGUGAGUAACACGUGAGUGAUCUGCCCCCAACUUGGGUAUAAGCCUGGGAAACUGGGUCUAAUUCCCGAUAGGACUGCAGGGUGGUGCCUGUGGUGGAAAACGAUUUUCUAGUGGUUGGGGAUGAGCUCGCGGCCUAUCAGCUUGUUGGUGGGGUAAUGGCCUACCAAGGCGGCGACGGGUAGCCGGCCUGAGAGGGUGGACGGCCACAUUGGGACUGAGAUACGGCCCAGACUCCUACGGGAGGCAGCAGUGGGGAAUAUUGCACAAUGGGCGGAAGCCUGAUGCAGCGACGCCGCGUGGGGGGUGACGGCCUUCGGGUUGUAAACUCCUUUCGACCGCGAGGAAGCCACCUGGUUGGAAGGGUGGCGACGGUAGUGGUAGAAGAAGCACCGGCUAACUACGCG
rnacentral:rRNA from 1 species